GCGGAGGUGGCGGAAUGGCAGACGCGCUAGUCUCAGGAGCUAGUGGGCAACCGUAGGGGUUCAAGUCCCCUCCUCCGCACCA
rnacentral:tRNA from 1 species